UCUGCAACUCGACCCCGUCGAAGUUGGAUUCGCUAGUAAUCGCGUAUCAGCAAUGACGCGGUGAAUACGUUCCCGGGCCUUGUACACACCGCCCGUCAAGCCAUGGAAGCUGGAAGUGCCUGAAGUGCGUAACCGCAAGGAGCGUCCUAGGGUAAAGUCGGUAACUGGGGCUAAGUCGUAACAAGGUAUC
rnacentral:rRNA from 1 species